UACCCAAGGUCACAGAAUAACCUAGCAACAGGACAGAGAUGAGCAUGAUUCUCCACAUAACCAGUGAAAAAUAUAAUGGAGGCACUCUCUCCUACGACACAAGAGUACUCCCGUACAUGAAGCAGCCCAGUGGUGCAAUUACAGCUGAUUAUAUUCAUUCAGCUCUCAUUCUGAGAGCACCACAAUGCUGCUGGUGACUCUCUGCUGCCCACAGGAGUUCUCAUGCAGCUGGCUAAGAUGGAGGUGGUGGGAUGGACUGAAGAGAUGUCAAAUAUUCACCAGAAGAUAGAACUAUGUUUCUUCAUCACAGCCUAAUGUCUUCCAGAUUUCCUUCUAGCAAUGCUCCACCAGUCUGCUCUUUGCUCAUUCAACCAUGCACAUUCUUCAUUUAGUUUUCUGGCUGGCUACUUUUUAGGGCUUUGAUCUCAUUUGACUUGGUGACAGACUACACAGUCCCUCUUAAGCAGUGUGUCAAGUAACAUCUGUGAAAAACUGUCCACAAAACCAGUUGCAAAAAUAAAAUUCAUUCUGUUCCUCUCACUGAACGAAUUAGACCAUUACUGCAAUUCACAGAACCUGAUCAGAUGUUCCACUCCAUUGUCAAUUGCAUAUUUCAUCGCCAGCACAAGCUCAGCCCUACAUCAAGCAAACUGGUGAGGUGGCAAACUCCUCCUGACCUUGUCCAGUUUACCAAAGACUCUCUCCAGGGGGUGAGCCAGCUGACCACAGAUGCUAAAAAAAGAAAACCACAAGGUAGAUGGGAACCAAUUCCAUCACUCAGUAUCACUCACAAACUUUACAUAGGUAACAGAAAAGUUUUCAGACAAUUAAGAUCUCUCAUCUUGUCUUUACAUUUCUUAUUUCCCUUGCAGUCAAUUUCUCAUUUUGUUUUGUGCUUAAACAGCAAACUAAAGCUACACUGCAACUUUUAGAUGCAUCUACUUAUAUACUAUGUUGUUGGAUCUGAAAAAAAAAUAAAUAAAAACCUCUGAAAAGA